AGAGUUUGAUCCUGGCUCAGGACGAACGCUGGCGGCGUGCUUAACACAUGCAAGUCGAACGGAAAGGCCCUUCGGGGUACUCGAGUGGCGAACGGGUGAGUAACACGUGGGUAACCUGCCCUCAGCUUCGGGAUAACUCCGGGAAACCGGGGCUAAUACUGGAUAUUCAUUGUCUGCCGCAUGGUGGGUGGUGGAAAGUUUUUCGGCUGGGGAUGGGCCCGCGGCCUAUCAGCUUGUUGGUGGGGUGAUGGCCUACCAAGGCGUCGACGGGUAGCCGGCCUGAGAGGGCGACCGGCCACACUGGGACUGAGACACGGCCCAGACUCCUACGGGAGGCAGCAGUGGGGAAUAUUGCGCAAUGGGCGGAAGCCUGACGCAGCGACGCCGC
rnacentral:rRNA from 1 species